UUUAUUGUCCUAAUCUUAGAUUAUUAUUAUUAGCAUAUCACGAUCCGGAAAAGUAAUUGUUUGUUUGCGAGGAGAAUUGAAUACAUCAAGUAUAUUUAUUGGAGAUCAUGUUGUGUGGUAGUCGGAGAUUUGAAACUAGGUGAAUCCAAUGGAUGGCCAUAUUCUUGGGAACCUAGAGCCACAAAACUGUAUGAUGUUAAGGUGUGCUCGUCCUUUCGAAACAGCCUCUCCUUGGAAUUAGAGCUCGAGGGAGAUCUCUGUUUGAACAAGUUAAAACUGAAUUCUUAAUCAUGUUGGAAGAAAGCUUUUCUUAUAUAUAUAUUGUACACUCAGAUAAUUAUUUACUUUCCUCUUUAUCUUAUUCAUUAUGAUAUUCUAAGGAAGGAGAUGCUUGCCUGGGUAAUGGAGGCCUUGCUCGUCUUUCAGCAUGUCAAAUGGAUUCUCUAGCAACUUUGGACUACCCUGCAGUGGGGUAUGCCUCUAUUCUAUAUUUUUCUUGUAAGAUUUGUGGAAGCAUUUCAAGUUAAAAGUAAUACAUAUAAGUCUUCCAUUAAGUAGGGGUACUGAAUCAUUAUCCAUACUGGCUUUGAAACCAAAAUGGAUUAUGGACCGUGAAGUUGACUGCUUAUCUUCUAAUUAGUAUUAGCUUAUUUAUAAUCUAUGCUAGUUUUCCUUUUUCAAAAUCAUUUAGCGAAUUCUUGCAUCAAAAUCAUGUCAUUUAGUUCAUGCAUAACUUGUAUAUCCUCAAACGAGUAUUGGCUUUUAUGUUUAAUAAUCUAAUUCUAGGGGAUUGUUUCUGCAGCUAUGGAUUACGCUACCAGUAUGGGUUGUUCCGUCAAGUUAUAGUGGAUGGAUUUCAACAUGAACAGCCUGAUUAUUGGUUAAAUUUUGGAAACCCUUGGGAGAUUGAGCGAGUUCACAUAACAUAUCCUGUAAAGGUUUGUAAGCACUUAGAUGUGUUCAAUUAUCUGUGGGAAUAUUGGAUGUUUGACUUUAUCUUUCUAUUCUUUUGCAAUUCUGUAUUGUUUACUAAACUUCUGUUCACUAUGUUUUUGGAUGGUAAAGUUCUAUGGGACGGUCACAGAUGAAUUUUUGAAUGGAGAGAAAUGUAAAGUUUGGGUUCCUGGAGAAAUGGUAAGGCUGUAAUUCUUUUCAUAAAUUGAAGCCUAGACAUUUGCAUAAAACUCUUUAUCCAUUAUUUAUACUCAUGGGCGAUGCAUGAUUUAAAUGAGUGCUAAAUUUAAGUGAAUGUGGUUGGCUUUUUUUAGCUUAGCAAUAUCUUCAUAUUCGUAGGUUGAAGCUGUGGCAUAUGACAAUCCAAUACCUGGUUAUGGAACAAGGAAUACCAUUAAUCUUCGCCUUUGGGCUGCGAAACCAAGUGAUCAACAUGAUAUGGUAAUUUCGACAAAGUCCAAUCAGUUAUGCAUGAGUUCUAUGCACACUUAGGUGGAUUAAACUAAAGUACGAAGAUCUGGCACAUAAAACUAAUUCUUAUGAUCUAGAUUCGCUAGAAAUGCUAUAGUUGGACUGAGCUAACAAUGCUGAUUUGGUAGCUUAAAACAUAGUCAUAUAUGCAAUCAUGUGUUUUUUUCUGUACGGAUCUCUUCUAUAUCCUACCCAUCAAGCUCUGCUUAGACAGCGAGGGAUUUGGAAAUCUUUUUGAAUAAUUUCUUUCAAUUGUUUUGGCUUAAUUGUUUUGAAACAUGCUUAAUCCAACUGAAGUGAUAUCAGUUAUUUGCUGUUUCAAUGUGCUUGUUUCUUUUAUCUUUCUUUUCUUUUUUUUUUCUUUAUUUCACUAUUUGCAUUUUGGAGAAUUAUAUUUUGGUGAGAGCUUAUGUUAGUAAGGUUAGCAUCUAUCCUGUCUUGUAUAGUCUUUGAGGCAGGUAUUUGAUGUCGGUUCUAGAAAGAUUUGUUAAUUAGUAAGAAUUUUGUAUAUUUCAGGUAUUUUGUUACUUUUAGUUUUAGAGACUUUAAUUUUUUGUAGGUGUUAUUUUGGAAAAUUCUUUAAGAUUCUGAUUUUUGGUUUUGUAUGAUAUUUAUUGCCAUACAUGCUUAUGGAUUCUUGUUAGUAUGCGACCUUGUUAUGUCUCAAAUUCUUGGGUUUGGAGCAUGGCAAUGCAGGAGUCUUUUAACACUGGGGAUUAUGUUGAUGCUGUAGUCAAUAGACAGAGGGCAGAAAGUAUUAGUAGCAUACUAUACCCCGACGAUCGUUCUUAUCAGGUGUGAUUGCUUUUCCUUAACUUGAUUGGUUACAUCAAGAUUAGAGUCUGCCUCAUCAAUUUUUUCAUGCUUCGUCUUCUAAAGUUUUUACUGCAAUUGUUUGAUUUAUGGGAAAUUAAAGGUACUUAGUCGGAGAUUAUUAAUGUUGCAUUCACUGAAAACUUGGUUGAAAUGUUUGCUAGGGGUUGAACAAAUAUGUUUCUUUGUCUUUCUGUAGAUCUACAUUCAUAUUUCUUUUUGGUGGUUUCUUUCAGGGUAAAGAAUUGCGGUUGAAACAGCAAUAUUUCUUUGUAUCCGCGUCAGUACAAGACAUCUUCAGAAGAUUCAAAGACACUCAUAAAAAAUUUGAUGAGUUUCCAGAGAAGGUUCUUAGCUGCAUGUUUCAUGUGUCUAUUAGUGCAGAAGCAUAUGUAGAGACACCUCAAAUCGGAUUAGUUUGUACUGAUCUGAUCAUGUAGUGAGGUGACAUGCCUUGGUUCUACCCUCCUGAAUCUUGUGUAACAUAGCUGUUCUCAAGGUUCUCUCAGGUUCUCAAUGUCACAUCCUUAACAAUUGAUUUGCUUUCAGAUGAUGGCAGUUGUGAGAUUUGAGUGAGGAAUCUUUCUCUAUACUGAGAAGGAUUUCUUUCCACUUUUAUUAUCAUCCCUAGGUUGAGUGCUGACUGCUGCUUGACUCCUGUUCUGUCAACUCCAAUUGCAUUUUAUAUAGGUUGCACUGCAGCUGAAUGACACUCAUCCAUCUCUUGCAAUAGCUGAGGUGAUGAGAGUGCUUCUGGAUGAAGAGCAUUUAAGCUGGCAUAGAGCAUGGGACAUCAUAUGCAAAAUAUUUUCGUUCACAACUCAUACUGUAUCACCUGAAGGACUGGAGAAAAUUCCUGUGGAUCUACUGGGCAACCUUCUCCCUCGACAUUUGCAGGUGUGUUUUGUUUGAAUUUUGCAAUGUACUUUCUUCUUUGAUAAAGUUUACCCGUUUCUUUGAAUUACUUUAUGUGAUUGAAAGCCUAAGUAAUUCUACUGGACAAGAUUCAUCUUACAAUAUUCUUUCAUUUAUAUCUGAUGUCAUAUGGUAUAAGCUUCAUCUUAAUAAUUUUCUUAACUACAGCAUCGUGCCUCCAAGGUACAGAAGCAUGCAUGUGGUUAAUUAUUAUUUUCCGCAUAACUCUUUCCUGUAUUACCACACUCCUUUAGAUUGUAAUUUAUUAGUUUGAUUGGUUGUCAACUUGUUUCGUACUAUUUUAGAAAAUUGCUCUUUUCAGAUUAUAUAUGACAUAAACUUCAACUUUGUGGAAGAGUUAAAGAAGAUGAUUGGUUUAGAUUAUGAUCGGCUGACCAGGAUGUCAAUUGUUGAGGAAGGUGCUGUGAAGGUAUAUAUCUCAAAUUUUAUGGGUUUCUAAAAUUUAUAUUGUGUUGAUGGAUUGCUAGAAUGUUAUGAAAAUUGAAGUCCAUAACCAUCCCUUUUGUCAGAAUAUUCGAAUGGCAAAUCUAUCAGUUAUUUGUUCUCAUACCGUGAAUGGUGUCUCCAGAUUACAUUCAGAGUUGUUGAGAACAAAAUUAUUCAAGGUAAAACUUAUAUUUGUUUUUUCCUGCUUAAACGUUGCCUUUCCUUGUAACAAGUUUGAAAUAGAACUCAGCUUCGAUGAAUGUCUUUAAUUAGUUGAUCUUAGUUGUUGUCUAUUAAUGCUUUUCAGGACUUUUAUGACCUAUGGCCGCACAAGUUUCAAUACAAAACUAAUGGGGUGACACAGGUUUAAAAUAAGUAACAGUUUUUUCAGUACAUUAACUUACUGAUAGGUUAAGUUGUUUCCUACCUGUAAAUAAAUUUUAGACUUGUUACUGUGAUGCUGUGAUGCAUCUUGCCCUGAUAACUAAAAGUACGCGAAUAAUUUAAAUUCACCUGCUGUGUAGUUAUUUUGAUCUCUUAAUAUUUGGUUUCUCAGCGUCGCUGGAUUGUUGUUAGCAAUCCUAGUUUAUGCGCUCUUAUCUCAAAAUGGCUUGGAACAGAAGCUUGGAUCCGUGAUAUUGACCUUUUAAUAGGCUUGAGAGACUAUGCAACUAAUGCUGAAUUGCAUCAAGAAUGGAAGAUGGUACUUUCAUAGUUGGCAUGCUUCACCUUUGAAACAAAACAUAUCAUUGGCUAUCUCAUUCAUUUAUUGUUAACUAUUAUCUCAUAGGUUAAGAAGGUCAACAAAAUAAGGCUUGCCGAGUACAUUGAAGCGAUGAGUGGUUUGAAGGUUUUGAAGAAAGCUAUAGUUUUUGCACCUACAUUUCUUUUUCCAUUUUUAAGGAGCUCUGAAAUGAUGUAAUGUUGGUGUGCAUUAUUUGUAAUGGGCAGGUCAGCUUGGAUGCAAUGUUUGAUGUGCAGACAAAGCGAAUACAUGAAUAUAAGCGGCAGUUGCUUAAUAUACUUGGCAUUAUCCAUAGAUAUGAUUGCAUCAAGGUUAACACCAUCUUUGGCUGAAAGAGCCAUGAAAACUUGUGGAAUUUAUCAAAUGCUUCUUUUUAUAUGCGCCUUUUUGAAUUGUCCGUGUAGCAAACUAACAACAUAGGUUUAAGUUAUUACCAUCCUGUUGCUGGAUGUUUGCAAGACCAACAAUUCCUUACUCAUUGUAAUAUGAGUUGAUUAACCAUUUCCUUAACCAUCAUCUUUUUGGCUUUGCAUAAAGAUGUUUAAGUAUUAGAAAUUGUACAUAUUUUCGAACAUUGUAAAAUAAGUUAAAAGAAUGUGUAACUCAGAGGUAUCUUUGCUCAUGCUAUUCUCAUUUGGUGCAGAAUAUGGACAAGAAUGAUAGGAAAAAUGUUGUACCACGGGUCUGCAUAAUUGGAGGAAAAGCUGCUCCAGGAUAUGAAAUUGCAAAGAAGAUUAUAAAACUCUGUCAUGUUGUGGCUGAAAGAAUCAACAAUGAUAAUGAUAUUGGAGAUCUUUUAAAGUUGGUAAGCUAGUAUUUAUUUUAUCUAGAAGUUCAAUGGAACUCUGAAGCGUGUAUUGUUUACUCAGAAGGGUGAGUAAUUUACCCUUAAAACAGAUAUAAUCAGCAACCAUGAUGAUGAAUUAAAGCUGCAAGGACCUUUAUAUUUGUCUUCUAAUAACAAAUCUGUCUUUCUAAGUCAUUAAGUAUUAUUGCAGGUCUUUAUCCCUGAUUACAAUGUUUCUGUUGCUGAGAUGGUAAUACCAGGGGCUGACCUUUCUCAACAUCUAAGGUAGUAUGCAUAAGUUUUGCACAUUAGAUGAUAUUAUCAAUUUCGUUAGCAGUUACAUUAUGUUUUGUAGUGAUUGCUGAUUGGGAUUUUUCUGUGGUCAACUAUUGGCUUCACUUAUAUAGAUAGAUCUAUUUGUCACUCUAAAGUUGUAUGCCUCCAUUUUACCAUUAAUUUGGGUCGAAAUAUUUUGGAAUCUUUUAGUAUUAAUUGUCAUUAAGCUUAUGUAUGAGCAGUUCAGAAUCACUAGGUUGAUGGAAUAAUAUAAUAUAAUAUAAUAUCCAGGUGAUUAAUUGGGGCAGAAUUAGUCUCUCCACAUUCUGAGCCCCGUUUUCCAGAAUUAAAAAAAAAAAAACCUGCUUCCACUCAACUUGUCUACUUCUGAUGUAUACUUCUUUUACUUUCUGAUCCAGCACUGCAGGACAUGAGGCAUCAGGAACUGGCAGCAUGAAAUUCUUGAUGAACGGAUGUUUACUUUUAGCCACAGCAGACGGUUCUACAAUUGAAAUGGUUGAAGAAAUAGGUCAGGAUAACAUGGUAAGUGCUAAAUCAACAGUCAUACAAAUGAAUCAAGGUAAAAGUACCAUGAAGUCCUCUAUAUUAGGAGUCAGAUUGUAUUUUACCUCCUCUACUCAAGAAAUGAGCAAAUUAGUCACUCUACAUUAGAUCAAAGAGCAAACUGGUCCUUUUAUAGAAAAUUUCAUCCAUUUUUGCUGUUAAAAGUUGGUCUCUGUACGUUAGCAUGAGGUACACAUGGCAUGUCACAUGUCACUGUCUAGUUAUUUCAUCAAUCAUGCCAGUUUUUAAUAGUACAAAAGAAUGAAAUUUUUAAUAGAAAGGACCAAUUUGCUCUUUAAUCUAAUGUAUAGGGACUGGUUUGCCUAUUUUUUUAGUAGAGGAGGCGAAAUGCAAUCCAACUCUUAGUACAAGAGCCUCCAUGGUACUUUUACAAUGAAUUAACAAUAUUAGUUGGAGUAGAUUUUGAUAACAUUUCUUUCAGUUCCUGUUUGGAGCAAAAGCGCAUGAAGUUGUUGCAUUGCGCAAGAAAGGACCCACUCUUAAAGUUCCUCUUCAGUUUUCGCGUGUUGUAAGGUAUUAUACCCCUUCAUUCUACGUAAUGUAUAGCUUUAUCAGUACGUUGCAUCUUAGUUUCUCUGUAAAGGAGAGUAUAUGUAUCCUUGCUUUUCUUAUACAGAGGUAGAGUUGAUUUAGAUAUUAUUGGUUUAAAUUUCAAGUGAUUUGAGUGGCAUUGUGUAACUAUUAUAUGUAGGAUGAUCCGAGAUGGUCAUUUUGGAUUUGAAGACUAUUUCAAAUCUUUGUGCGACAAGAUAGAGGGCACGAGUGACUAUUUUCUUCUUGGUGCCGAUUUUAUGAGCUAUCUAGAGGCCCAGGUAAAUAGUUGGUUUUCCAUCAGUUAGAAAUAAGAAUGCCUUGUAAAAGGGAAUUGCAUUUUAAUUGUGGACUGUGUUGAGAUGAACAGGCAGCCGCCGAUAAAGCGUUCGUUGAUGAAGAGAGAUGGACAAAAAUGAGUAUACUUAGCGCAGCUGGCUCUGGGAGAUUUAGCAGUGAUAGGACAAUCCAAGAGUAUGCUGAAAACACUUGGGACAUUCAACCUUGCAGAUGUCCCUUUUGAUUUGGGAAGUGAGAGCUACUCGAAAUAGAAUGAAGCUCUCGCAAUGUCAUGUGCGGGGCUUCUCUAUUUAUUAAUAAAAUAAAACGAAUUGAAUCGAAUAAAAUUACAAUGAAUAAUAACAAUGUUUCUAAAACUAAUAAUAGAAAAUAAUCAAAGCAUUCAAAAAUAUUUGAGUUGGAGCUUGACAUAAAUAUUGUUGUUGAUAGGACCUUAUAAAUGUUUAUUUAAAAAAAUUCAGACGGAAACCUAUUGCAAACUUUUUUGCCCAUUUCAAACAAUUUUGAUUUUGGACGAAUUAUAAUAAUUUCUUCUCUUUUCCUUUACCAGAAAGAUAUACCUUGUCUUUUUCGUAAAUAGAAUUAACUUUAUUCAACUGAUUUUUGUUUGGUUGUUCAUACUUCAUGAAAUAACAAUUUUCUCCUGGAUUCUACAAGCUUCGAUUACCCGCCACUAUUUCUGUUUACUUCUUCCGAGAAGAAAAAAGGAGGAAAGAUAGAAAAAAAAAAAAAGGUUGUUUAGAAGAGGCAGUAAUGGCGGUUAAUAUGAUUCUCCUUCCCUCCAUUUUCAGUUUUUUCUUCUUCCUCUUCUUCUUCUUCUUCUUCUUGUCACUCACAUCUCAAGAUGAACAAAGUAACAACCACAAUCUCUUGAUCCUUGAAUUGCGCGACUCCAAGCUCAAGAUCUCUCGUUUGGGUAAAAUUUCUUUUUUAUUUCUUCAUUGAUAAAUAAAUACCUUACUUAGAGUUUCCAAACAAACACUGAUCUUAACCUCGAUUCCUUGACUAUUGUAAAAUAUGGAUGCAGAAUCUGUUCUUGAAGAAAGAAUUCAAAACCUUAAUGCUAAAACCCUUUCUGUUAAGGAACACGGGAAAUCCCUCGAGGACAUGGCAAACAAGAGCACUUAUCUGCAGUCUGCUCUAUUUGAUCUUAAGGUUCAAUUCUUUCCUAAGAAGCUUUGCUUUUGUUUUUAGCUUUGUUUUCAUUUGUAUGUUACUCGGGUUUAUUUGGAUUGAAUGUCUUCUCCCUAUUGAUGUCUCAAAAUGAAAAAAAAAAAGGGGGGGGGGCUGCUUUUGAAAGCAGAAAAUUGAAUUGUGGUACGGUUUAUUCACUUAGUAAUCUUGUUCCAAAAAUACAUAGCAUAUUGACAUGUGAUUUUGCAAUUUCUAAAUGUAUAUAGCAUAUUGACAUGUUAUUUUGCAAUUUCUAAAUUGUAGGAUUAUUCAUUUCUUGCUGAUGAAAAAAGCUUAACGCUCUGGAAGAGGAGGUUCGUUUUAAAUGCUUCUAUAAAUAUAAUCGCUCUUUCAAACUUUUUUUCGUCCUAUUUGAUUCCUUGUCAUGUUUGUACGGGUGAGUGGCAAGAAAUAUUUGCUUUAGUGCAAUUCAACUUAGUACCAGGCUUCAUGAUCCUAGGUACACGGCCUUUGGGCUGUUUCGAGAAAGAACAAUUUUGAUCUUCAUGUUUUAGAGUUGAAAGCACAGGACGCCGAGGAUAGACUGGAAGCUGUUACUUCAUAAGUUGGAAAGGUUAGCAUUUACAUUCGUUAAUUUUGUUUCUGUAUAGAGACUCUGCUUGUAAAUGAUGAGGGCUUCGUCUUUGUUUUUUUUUUUUUUGGGGUACUAUUAUAAUAUGAGGUGAACCCUAAACCCUGGGGUGUCAACAAGAGAGCAUCAAUCACUGCUCCAAGGGGAUGUUGGUGAGGGGUUUUUCUUGUUUGUCAUACACCAUGACCAUCUAAUGCUGAAUGACUAAGCAUUUCUUCAUAUUAUAACGUUAUAUAAUCUAUAAUAAACUUUAAUGCCUCGUUUAGUUAUCUAGUGUAUUAACACAAGGAAAAGCUUACUACAUAAGUAUUAAAGUAGUUUGUCAUAACAUAUAGUGUAUAUUUAAACUUGAAAUUAGAAAGAUAAGUAGAACUCUAGUAAAAAAUAGGACCUCUUCAAAAUAAGAAAAAAAAAUUCUUUCUCAUUGCUCAAAACAAGUUGUGCUAGUGGUUAAAAAUUACCAUCUGAAGUUAGUUAGUUUGUAACUCAUGUACUAAGACAUGAAGAAAUAAUAUUCCUACCGAACGUAGCAUAAGAGUUUCAUCAAUAACUGCAAGAAUGCUUUAAGCACCUAUUUGCUGCUGUUCCAAUUAUUGAAGUUUGUGUUGCCUCAUUUCUAGAUUUAAAUAUCCUUGUUGGGUUGGGAGAGGUUUUGUUGGGUUGGUCAUCAGGUAUUAUGCUUUAGGUACCAGUCACUGGCUCAACGCUAAGCUGUAUUUCUUUAAAUGGAAGAGAAAUAUUAUAUCCUCAUAUUCUUUCUAAGUUGUUAAUGAAAAUGACCAUAUUUUAUCAGAACUCUUUCUUGGUUAUUUGAACUUUCUUUUGAUUGUUGAUGUGUAAAAGGCUUGAAAACUUGUUUAUUCCCUAUUGGUUUUAUUAUCUCUUGAUAUAACUAAUAUUGAAAUAAUUUGUAUUUUACUCACUCAAAGUUCCAUUCCCUUGCAUUUAGAUGGCAGAAGUUGUUACAGAACAAUGGGUUCAAAUUCAACAUCUUGAGCAGGCACUUCAAAUUGCUAAAGUAUGGUCUUAGGCCCUAAUGAUAUCAGUUAUUUGUUAAACUCAGGGAAAUUUGAAAGAAAAUGAAGAUAAAGGUUUUUCUCAUUAUAAUUAUCCUUUAUUUGCAUCAUUUCUUUGUGUUACAGAUGAGGGCAUUGCAAGCUCAAAAGCAAAGGAAUAUGAGAUGCACAUUCUUGAAGGUAAGAUAAUAAGUUGACAGUCUUUCAGACCUCUUCUUUUCCUCAGUCUCUGUCCCUUUAAAUUACUGUAAAUUUUAUCUUUGUAUAUCAAAGCAUCAGCAACAGUUAUAACUUUUAUAGUUCCUUUUAGUUAAGGAAAAAAUACUUUGUCAUAUGCUCGUGUUUCAUGUUAGUCAUAAGAUAAUCUAAUCUUGUAUGUGAAUAGUUCAUAGAUGGCAUUUCUGGAAGACAUCUCCCGAAGCCGUUCAAGGCCUUGGAUUCUUAUUCAUUGGGAAAAGGACCUAUCAUAAGAUACUACGUGUCUUAAGCUCUGCAACAAUUGAAAAGAUUUUACUCAGCAAUUAGAAGGUUUCACCCUGAGGUAUGUUUGAUACUGCAUGACUUUCUAGAUUCUUGUCUGAAAAAUAAUGGUGUCACUCUUGAAGGUCUUCACAUGUCAAAACUUACUUGACAUUACCUUUGUGAAGUUUCCAUUAAAAAAAAGUGGUCAAGAAACAUUUGAAUUUCAGUAUUGCGCUUGCCUCUAUCAACACCUCUUCCACUCUCCUUAGCAAUUUGACACAGAAGACUGUAAGAUAUAAUGGCUUCAAGAUUGCAGAAUCUCUUUCUUUUACUAAGUUCUGAAACUUAUUAUGGAAACUUUUGGUCUUUUCCAGCCUAAAAAAUGGAAAAUCGGUGGGUUGAUUGGUCAUGUAAAUAAGACCGAGUAUUCGUGGAAUUAUAGUUCUAUCAGCCAAGAAGAGUAUAUUAUGAACCUUAAACUAUGUACCUACAUAGACUUUGAACCUUAAUUGGCCCGUUAUCAGAUGUGAAUGUUGCCUUGAAUGAUAUUAACCAUACUUAACUUUUAUUACCAAGGCACUGAAAUUGCUUGUAAGAGAAGGAUAAUAAUUGUCUUGCACUUUCAACUUGAAAUUCUCUGCGUACAAUCAUCUCUGUUGGAUGUAUGCAGACAUGAAUUCUGCAAUCUUGUGCUUUAGUUCAGAAUAUUAUUUAGUAACAAUUCAAUUUCCUCCAAUGCACAGAAUUUGGCCUGCUUUACAAUUGAAGGAGUUAAAUUAGCAGCAUGUUAAAUUUCUUCCAUCUGUCUCCUUUGUGCUCAUCAGAGGUUCCAGUUUACAAGUUAAUAUGCAUUAGUUUUAGAAAAUAUUGGCCAAGUACAAAGAAGUAUAUCCCUUCCCUAGGAACCUCUGGCUUUCCAAGAAAUAAAUGUUUUCUGUUUGUUUGCAGUUGCAAGCUUUCAUCAAAUAGGAGAUGCAAAGAAAUGAACUUACUGCUGCUUUUGUCAAUGAUGAACUGGUAUUCUUUCUGGUAUGUUCUUGAGUACCAGCUGCCAUCUUCUGUACAUGAAGAUUUACUUGAAUUGCUGGUAUAAUUCAUUUUAUGGUAUUUCAGGCUUCUGCUUUCAUUACCUUCCCUAUACUGGGUUCUUGGAUGCUGCUUUUAACAUAGUUCAGCUAGGUGAAGAAAUCUUCUUUUAGGGGGUAGUGUCUUACCCUGAAAUAGUAGGUGACAUCCAAGCUGUUGCACUUUGUUUUCUCUGAUCUCUUUUACAGAUUGGUUUUUGAUAUUAAAAGGUGAAAGAAGAGUUAGACACAUUACUGCGUACAGCACCGGGUCAUUUUGUUGCCAAUGAGUCAAUUUUACAUGGAAGUAUUCCAGGGUCCAGAUCAAUACAGUAUGAUAUUCAUUGACCCAAAUGUUGAUUUUUGAGGCUUAAGAUAUUUGCAUCUAUUUGUAGCCUAAUCAAAAUUGGAGUCGAUCAUUGAAUUGAUUGUGUACAAAGAUACGCAGACAUUUACACACUGGGAGCGUUUCACGUCCAUGACAAUUUUAGUCAUUUUCUUUAAAAAAAAAUGUUGGGAUUUGAAUUUUAAAUCUUUUUUUCUUAAAAAGUUGGUUUCGGUAACGCCGUUGAUGAAACUAAAGAACAGCCGUGGCAUCCAUGAGUGAAGAUUAACUAUUAAACAAAAACAAAUGAGGAAAGUGGUGAGGAGGAAUCCCAGAUUUUUGUUAAAAGAAAAAGGAAAACGUGAAUUCAUUCAUGAUUCAUCAUCUCUCUGUAGUCGGUCAUCAUGAAAUCAACGUAAAGAAAGGCAAAUGGCAGGCGAUAUGGCAAUUCCUUGAUGAAGGUAUUUCAAGCCUUGCAAAAAAACAAAAACUUCCUUUGUUUCUUUUUCUUUUUUUUGUCUCCUUCCGAAGUCACAAGGCUAAUCCAUAAUUGAGACUGAAAAAAGCAAAAAUGGAAGAGUCGACAUGGGAGCAAAAGCUCCAGGCUCUAACCCACAUCCUAACAAGCCCCACAACCUCACCGCCUCUCCACUCUCAACUCUUCAUCUCCACACAAAUACCAUGUUUCCUCAACUGGGAUUUCCCUCCAAUUCUCUGCAAUAAACCCAACUCCCAUACCUUCCCUUCUCUCCACCUGAAAUGGGGAAUCUCUCUUUUCCUCAGAAGGGUCUCAAGAUUGGGUGUCCCCGAAACUUCCUGGAGGUCCAAGUGCCCUUACUAUCAGCCCCCACCACUGAUUCUGGCCAAGGGAGUGGAUGAAGCACAAUGGGUCGAUGCGCAAAAGCGAGAGUAUGUUAGGAAGAGGCUGAGAAGGAAACGCCUAGAAAGCCAUGUCCACCCUUUAAUUCCGAUUUUGAUUCCCGAUUUAUUAUUGUUCUCCCUGCUCUGGUUCAAUCCAUUUCCUCUUAAUGAUUCCUGACAAUUUUCCUUGUCUCAGAAUUGUAUAAUAAUAAGUACAUAACUCUUAUGUCUUAUCACUUCUCUUGUCAACGUUGGAUCAUUUUAUUUACUUUGGUCGAUUUCGGAUUUCUUUCUCGGUAGCACUGUUGUUUGCCUUAUCAAAAUCUCUACUCUCAGAAAUUUUUCUUUCUUUUAUAGAAGAUGAUGAUGAUGAUGAUGAUGAUGAAAAGGGGCUUAAAUUGAGGCCCCAAGUAAAUUAAUUAGAAGCUACAACAUCAUAAAGCAAAAUCAGUAAUAAAGAGUUCUGAUUCACUUUGCUUAAUAUAGAAUUUACCUUUGCCAGUUAAGCCCGCCUGUAAUUUUGGUUAACGUCUAAACAUGCAUUUAUUUAUUUAUUUACAACUUACCUCAUUAAUUUUCUCCCCAUGUAUAACCCACCAAACUCCAACUGCACUACCUGAAACUCUUUAUUCGGUUUAGUUAAAUCUGGCCUCCACUUUACCACAACAUAGUGGGGCUGGCCAUCGCCUCCACUUUAUUCAAUACAUUCAGCUUCUAGAAUUCCAAAAACAAUACAUCAUGAUUUGUUUAUUAUGUUACUUUAAUUUUUUUUCCCCUUUUCGUCUAGUCUUGUUUUAUAUUAGCAGUGUUGAUCGUUGAUAAAGGUUGAAGUUUCGGAUUUUAAUGUUUGAGUUUAAGUUCUACCAUCUAUAAUUGCAAUACGGGUCUCUCUUACCUUGUGUAUAUGCGGUGUGUUUUAUCUAAUUAUUUUUAGAUUUUACUAUGUUUUUGUUCAGUUCUUCAUCUAUUAUGAAUUGCAUCAGUUGAAUUUUACGUUAUAAUUUAUUGAACAUAUAUUUAUUUUUGUCUUCUAAUUGUACAAUUUUUAUACCAGUGAAUUUUUUUAAAAAAAAUCAUGUGAUUAUGGAAUAUACGACAUAUAUUUAUGAAAUUUUAAGAAAAGAAAAAAAGAAAUGUUAAGUAUACACCAUUUUCAGUCACAUUAGAAUCCUGUUAAUACAUUAUUUCUACGGCUUCUACAUCACUAAACUGAUGAUCACAUUGGAUACUACCUUUUCUUUUCUUUUUGACUUAAUAGUAUUAAUGGUUUUCGAGUUUGGCAAACAUUUUUUUUCAAAAUUGGGUAGGAUUCGAUGGCCAGAUUGAUACAAUCUUUGUACGGCCGAAACGCUUCCCUACCGUUAAUCAAGCAACCAAACUUCACUUAAUCCAAGGAAAAGAAGAAAAGCAAAAAGUAAAAGCCAAAAGAAAAAUUAUUCAAUUGAUUGGUCAAACACUAACGUUGACAAUAAAGCUUCUUUUUUUUUUUAACUCUCUACCAUUGAUCUUUUAUUCCACCCCUUCCUUACAGCUUUUUGUUGUUGUUGUUUUCUAAAACAGAACCUCAUAAUAUCAGACAUAUUGGGACUCUGAAAAUUCAACCUUCAGGGAGAAAAAAUCCUUCUUGUUUCCAUUAUGUUUAUUUUGUUAUAGAUGGAGGCAUCGGUGCUUGAGUUGUGAAUGCAUAAGCAUGAACCAUAAAGUUCAAUCAAGAUAUGAGGAGAAUCUUCUUUUUCCUUUAUCUUUGCUUUUCUGUUUUUCCUUUGUUGAUGGCGCCAAACGUAGUCUUAAAGUAUAUUAGAUACAUCUGGUGACCAACAUUCAAUUAUAAUAAAGAGUAUAGAUAGAUACAUCAAUACUAUCCAGCCCUCUUUCAUGAUGAUGUUGCAAGUUUUGCACUCCACCCCCAUAUUAUUAUGAAGAGGAGAAAUUCCUGUUAGUUGAGCUUUAUUUUCUAAGAAAUGACUUCUAACAUUAAUAAAUUUGAAUCAUGAUAUAUUUAUAGCUAUUUCUCUUACUCUCUCGUAUUAUAGCUUUCUUUAUAUGCUAAAACAGGAGAUGAGUAGGAAGAAACAAUUUUUGUUAAAAGACGUGAAGUUGUCUUAAGAUUGACAAGGCAGUUAGAUGCAUUUAAAUUGGUAUUUAAGGAUAUGUCUGUAUAUAACUAGAACUAAUUAAGAUUACAAUACACUGCAAAAUGAUUCCACCUUUUUUUUUGGGGGGUUCUCUCUUUUAUAUGAUCAAAUACAAUGUUGAUAUGAACAAGGUUUUGCAGUUGUAGAAAAUCGUGGAGGACUUUUUUUUUUACAAAAAAGAAAGAUAAAAUUCAUAAAAAAUGUGAAGUUAAGCAUAUUUAGCGACGGGUGGGGUAUGGGGUGGUUUGCUAACAUGGAAUGCGCAUGGCAGAUUGGCACUUUAAAGAAGGGAUGGGGCCGAGGGGGCGGGAGUUGUUAAAUCCUCGGGGUAGAAAAAGGUAAGUAAGCGUGUCCCUGGCAUUAGACAAGGAGUAGAGGGGGCAGCACAUGCACAGCAUAACUAUAUCUCUUUAUUUUAUGUCCCACUCCACUCCCCCUCAUCUCUGCCGCAACAUUAAAUACCAUAUGCAUCCUUACUAUUCAUAAUGGUUUUUUGUUGGGUUGAUGUUACAAAAUUACAAUUUUACUAUAGAUGUAUUUAUAAUAUUUAAGAUUUUUUUAAGUAGGAGUUUAAUCUUUGGUGGUGAUGUUGAUUUUAGAUAUAUUCCCCACCCGCAAGUAGAUAUCAUACAUUCUAAUAUAAUUAAAAAUGGUAUAAUUAAAAUAUUUUUAAUAUUUUUAAUAUUAUUUUUAUAUUUUUGAAUUUUUAAAUUUUAAAAAAUUAAUUAAAUGUUGGUGCGUCAUCUACAUGUAUGCAACGGCGAAGCUUAAAAAAUAUUAAUUUUUUUCAUUCGUGAUUUGACAAAAAAAAGUAAGUUUAAAGGCUAAAAAAGCAUAAAUUUAAAUAAAUAGCUAAAAUAAUUUUUUUACAAAGUUAGAGAGCCAAAUAAAUUAUUAUUUUAUUUAAAAAUAUUUUUUUAAUAAAUUAUUAAUUUAGUCACAUAAUCUAAUAUAAUUUAAUUCAAACCCGUUGGUUCCAUCAACAAAUUGAUCUGCAUGAGACUUAAGGGUUAGAAUUUGGUGCGUAACUCUUUUUCCUCCUAAUUUUUACUUUUAAAAAGAAAUUGCAAUACAAUUUUUUUAUUAUAGAAUUCUCCAAUUUUUAUUUAUUUAUUUGAUCAGGAAGCUUUAUUGACACUGCUUUUAUUUUUCCAUCAAUCCAAUUUAAGAGACAAUUCACUUUUUAUAAUUAACAAAAAACAAAAAGAAAAUAAAAGAAAUUACUUUUUCCUUUUUCGUGUUCGAUACAAGAUAGAUGAAAUAUGGAAAAUAAAAUGCAAUGAAAAUAUAUUAUUAGUGAUAUAUCACCUCCAUUAUGUAGGGGAAAGAAAUAAAAAUAAUAUUAAUUUAUGAUACUUUCAUAAUGUGGUUAAAAAUAAUUAUCUAGUAUUUUUUUGUAAAAAAAAAGGAAAGUUGAUAUCUAUGCUACUAAUGAAGUUUCUUAGUGAGUUUGUUACUAAUCAUAUUCGAAUUUUAAAAAUUGUGAAUUUUUAAAAAAUAAGUUAUUUAUAUAACUAGUAAUAUACUAUUUUGACUCUUUUUUUAUCCGAGUUAAUGUUAGUUAUCUCGUGAUACCAAUUCAAUAAAACACUUUAUUUAUAUUAAAUUAAUAUAGGUGAGAAGUAAAAUUAUUUAACAAAUAUAUUCUUAAAAAUACUAAAGGAGGUUUUGGUUGAAUAGCAAAAUAUAAAUAUUACAAAUUAUAAAGAUGUAGGUUCAAUAUUUUUACUAUUUUUCUAUAUAAAAUGAUAACCUUAUAAAAGUAGUUUGUGGUUGAUGGACUAAUUUUUUAAAAAGAAUUAAUAUUAGUAAAGAUAUAUAUGGUACUAAACAUAAGGAAAUAGGGGAAAACGUAUCAUAUUUGUAGUGGGAGAAUGGGAUCAUUACAAGGAAAAAUGAAAUAUAUAUCAUUAACAACAAACAUAAAAGAAAGCGUCUUUUGAUAAAGUUGUUAUUGGUGUAAUGUGAAGGGACCACAAUCAUCACCAUUCACCACUUGCUCCUAAUUGAGUUGAAAUCUUUUUACAACAUAGAAAACUAGAACAUCUCCCUUUCUUGCUUCCUAUAUAUAGAUUUUGUAUCAUCGCAAUUCCACAUCACACACGCAAGCAAAGCAAAGCAUUAGCAACCAUAGCCAUGGCUUCCUCACCAAAACUCUUCUCUAUGUCUAUCCUCUUCCUUUUUGCCCUCUUCUCCAUGCAAAUCCAUGCUAGAGAGUACUUCAGCAAAUUCCCAAGAGUUAACACCAAUGAGAAAGAGACAACAACCAGAGAGCAAGAGCACGAGACCUUCGUUCCCCAGACCACCCAAAAGCCAGAAGAGCAAGAGCCAAGGUUCAUCCCUGAAACCCAAAAUGGUUAUGGCCUUUACGGCCACGAGUCAGGCUCAGGCUCAAGCCGGCCCAGUUUCACCACCAAAGAAACCUAUGAACCCUAUGUCACCCCUGUUAGAUUCCACCCUGAUGAACCCUAUAACAGCAUCCCCGAAUCCUCCAACAAUAAAGACACUUACUACUACAACAAGAAUGCCUACAAGUCCACUAAGCAGCAAAACUUGGGCGAGGCCAUUUUCACCGAGAAAGGAUGGAGCACCAAGGAAAACCAGAACAACAACUACUACAACGGCAACAUUAAUGGCGAGAAGCAAGGCAUGAGCGAUACUAGGUACUUGGAGAAUGGAAAGUACUACUAUGACGUCAAGAGUGAGAACAGCUAUUAUCCAAACCAGCUCGACAACUCAAGAGGAGUUGCUUCCAGGAACGAGUUCGAUGAGAAUCGUUACAACAACAUGGGAAGGUACCACCAGAACCAAGAGGAGUUCGAGGAAAGCGAGGAAGAGUUCGAACCCUGAUCACCUGUCGUACAGUAUUUCUACAUUUGAUGUGUGAUUUGUGAAGAACAUCAAACAAAACAAGCA
rnacentral:lncRNA from 1 species